rnacentral:rRNA from 1 species
GUUGAUCAUGGCUCAGGAUGAAUGCCGGCGGUGUGCCUAAUACAUGCAAGUCGAACGCGUUGGCCCAAUCGAUUGAUGGUGCUUGCACCUGAUUGAUUUUGGUCGCCAACGAGUGGCGGACGGGUGAGUAACACGUAGGUAACCUGCCCAGAAGCGGGGGACAACAUUUGGAAACAGAUGCUAAUACCGCAUAACAGCGUUGUUCGCAUGAACAACGCUUAAAAGAUGGCUUCUUGCUAUCACUUCUGGAUGGACCUGCGGUGCAUUAGCUUGUUGGUGGGGUAACGGCCUACCAAGGCGAUGAUGCAUAGCCGAGUUGAGAGACUGAUCGGCCACAAUGGGACUGAGACACGGCCCAUACUCCUACGGGAGGCAGCAGUAGGGAAUCUUCCACAAUGGGCGCAAGCCUGAUGGAGCAACACCGCGUGAGUGAAGAAGGGUUUCGGCUCGUAAAGCUCUGUUGUUAAAGAAGAACACGUAUGAGAUUAACUGUUCAUACGUUGACGGUAUUUAACCAGAAAGUCACGGCUAACUACGUGCCAGCAGCCGCGGUAAUACGUAGGUGGCAAGCGUUAUCCGGAUUUAUUGGGCGUAAAGAGAGUGCAGGCGGUUUUCUAAGUCUGAUGUGAAAGCCUUCGGCUUAACCGGAGAAGUGCAUCGGAAACUGGAUAACUUGAGUGCAGAAGAGGGUAGUGGAACUCCAUGUGUAGCGGUGGAAUGCGUAGAUAUAUGGAAGAACACCAGUGGCGAAGGCGGCUACCUGGUCUGCAACUGACGCUGAGACUCGAAAGCAUGGGUAGCGAACAGGAUUAGAUACCCUGGUAGUCCAUGCCGUAAACGAUGAGUGCUAGGUGUUGGAGGGUUUCCGCCCUUUCAGUGCCGGAGCUAACGCAUUAAGCACUCCGCCUGGGGAGUACGACCGCAAGGUUGAAACUCAAAGGAAUUGACGGGGGCCCGCACAAGCGGUGGAGCAUGUGGUUUAAUUCGAAGCUACGCGAAGAACCUUACCAGGUCUUGACAUCUUGCGCCAACCCUAGAGAUAGGGCGUUUCCUUCGGGAACGCAAUGACAGGUGGUGCAUGGUCGUCGUCAGCUCGUGUCGUGAGAUGUUGGGUUAAGUCCCGCAACGAGCGCAACCCUUGUUACUAGUUGCCAGCAUUAAGUUGGGCACUCUAGUGAGACUGCCGGUGACAAACCGGAGGAAGGUGGGGACGACGUCAGAUCAUCAUGCCCCUUAUGACCCGGGCUACACACGUGCUACAAUGGACGGUACAACGAGUCGCAAACUCGCGAGGGCAAGCAAAUCUCUUAAAACCGUUCUCAGUUCGGACUGCAGGCUGCAACUCGCCUGCACGAAGUCGGAAUCGCUAGUAAUCGCGGAUCAGCAUGCCGCGGUGAAUACGUUCCCGGGCCUUGUACACACCGCCCGUCACACCAUGAGAGUUUGUAACACCCAAAGUCGGUGGGGUAACCUUUUAGGAGCCAGCCGCCUAAGGUGGGACAGAUGAUUAGGGUGAAGUCGUAACAAGGUAGCCGUAGGAGAACCUGUGGAUG